UAAGGAAUAUUGGUCAAUGGACGCAAGUCUGAACCAGCCAUGCCGCGUGGAGGAUGAAGGCCCCCUGGGUUGUAAACUUCUUUUAUCUGGGACGAAACACUCUUUUUCUAAAGAGCUUGACGGUACCAGGUGAAUAAGCACCGGCUAACUCCGUGCCAGCAGCCGCGGUAAUACGGAGGGUGCAAGCGUUAUCCGGAUUCACUGGGUUUAAAGGGUGCGUAGGCGGACACUUAAGUCCGUGGUGAAAUCUCUGGGCUUAACCCAGAAACUGCCAUGGAUACUAUUUGUCUUGAAUGUUGUGGAGGUUAGCGGAAUAUGUCAUGUAGCGGUGAAAUGCAUAGAUAUGACAUAGAACACCAAUUGCGAAGGCAGCUGGCUACACAAAUAUUGACGCUGAGGCACGAAAGCGUGGGGAUCAAAC
rnacentral:rRNA from 1 species